rnacentral:rRNA from 1 species
UACGUAGGCAGCGAGCGUUGUUCGGAAUUACUGGGCGUAAAGAGUGUGUAGGCGGUGCUCUAAGUCUGUUGUGAAAUCUCCCGGCUCAACUGGGAGGGUGCGGCGGAAACUGGAGUGCUCGAGUGUGGGAGAGGUAAGCGGAAUUCCUGGUGUAGCGGUGAAAUGCGUAGAUAUCAGGAGGAACACCUGUGGUGUAGACAGCUUACUGGACCACGACUGACGCUGAGACACGAAAGCGUGGGUAGCAAACAGG